rnacentral:misc_RNA from 1 species
GAUGAAGAACGCAGCGAAAUGCGAUAAGUAAUGUGAAUUGCAGAAUUCAGUGAAUCAUCGAAUCUUUGAACGCACCUUGCGCUCCUUGGUAUUCCGAGGAGCAUGCCUGUUUGAGUGUCAUUAAUAUAUCAACCUUCUCUUUUUUGAGUUGUUUGGAUGUGGGGGUUUGCUGGCCUCUUAAAUGAUUCAGCUCCCCUGAAAUGCAUUAGCAGAACAACCUGUUCAUUAACGUGAUAAUUAUCUAUGCUAUUGAAUGUGAGGGCAGUUCAGCUUUCUAACCGUCCUUGGACAAUUCAUCAUUAAUGUGACCUCAAAUCAGGUAGGACUACCCGCUGAACUUAAGCAUAUCAAUAAGCGGAGGA